ACGUCCCAGUUCGGAUUGUAGUCUGCAACCCGACUACAUGAAGCCGGAAUCGCUAGUAAUCGCGGAUCAGAAUGCCGCGGUGAAUACGUUCCCGGGUCUUGUACACACCGCCCGUCACACCAUGGGAGUCGGAAAUGCCCGAAGCCGGUGACCCAACCCGAAAGGGAGGGAGCCGUCGAAGGCAGGUCGGAUGACUGGGGUGAAGUCGUAACAAGGUACC
rnacentral:rRNA from 1 species